UACGUAGGGUGCGAGCGUUGUCCGGAAUUACUGGGCGUAAAGAGCUUGUAGGCGGUUCGUCGCGUCGAUCGUGAAAACCUACCGCUCAACGGUGGGCUUGCGGUCGAUACGGGCAUCACUGGAGUUCGGCAGGGGAGACUGGAAUUCCUGGUGUAGCGGUGAAAUGCGCAGAUAUCUGGAGGAACACCGGUGGCGAAGGCGGCAUCCUGGACCGGUAUUGACGCUGAGGCGCGAAAGCCAGGGGAGCAAACGGG
rnacentral:rRNA from 1 species